UGGGGAAUAUUGCACAAUGGGGGAAACCCUGAUGCAGCAACGCCGCGUGAGUGAAGAAGUAUUUCGGUAUGUAAAGCUCUAUCAGCAGGGAAGAAAAUGACGGUACCUGACUAAGAAGCCCCGGCUAACUACGUGCCAGCAGCCGCGGUAAUACGUAGGGGGCAAGCGUUAUCCGGAUUUACUGGGUGUAAAGGGAGCGUAGACGGCGAGACAAGUCUGAAGUGAAAGCCCGGGGCUCAACCCCGGGACUGCUUUGGAAACUGCCGUGCUAGAGUGCUGGAGAGGUAAGUGGAAUUCCUAGUGUAGCGGUGAAAUGCGUAGAUAUUAGGAGGAACACCAGUGGCGAAGGCGGCUUACUGGACAGUAACUGACGUUGAGGCUCGAAAGCGUGGGGAGCAAACA
rnacentral:rRNA from 1 species